rnacentral:rRNA from 1 species
AAUAGAUACCCGGGUAGUCCUAGCCGUAAACGAUGACCACCAGGUGUGGGAGGUAUCGACCCCUUCCGUGCCGGAGUUAACACACUAAGUGGUCCGCCUGGGGAGUACGGUCGCAAGAUUAAAACUCAAAGGAAUUGACGGGGACCCGCACAAGCAGCGGAGCGUGUGGUUUAAUUCGAUGCGACGCGAAGAACCUUACCAGGGCUUGACAUGCGCCUGCACCACCUGGAGACAGGUGUCCCUUCGGGGCGGGCGCACAGGUGCUGCAUGGCUGUCGUCAGCUCGUGCCGUGAGGUGUUGGGUUAAGUCCCACAACGAGCGCAACCCCUGUGGUCGGUUAGGAUGUCCGACCAGACUGCCACGCUAAACGUGGAGGAAGGUGGGGAUGACGUCAAGUCAGCACGGCCCUUACGUCCUGGGGCGACACACACGCUACAAUGGCUGAGACAACGGGUGGCCAACCCGCGAGGGGGAGCUAAUCCCAGCAAACUCGGUCGUAGUUCGGAUGGUAGGCUGCAACCCGCCUGCCUGAAGCCGGAGUUGCUAGUAACCG